AAGGGCUUUGAAUGUAAUUUGUGUCCAGAUGUUGCAUUAAGUACUCAACUGCAGUGCAGCUCAGUUUUUCUUUUAAAUAAGAAGAAAAUCCAGAAUUUGAAAGUUCCUUAAAGGAUGACAGUUUUUUUACAAUAUGUUUGCACAGAGAAGCAGUGGAUACAGUUUGUUUUUCACUAGCAGAAAUGACACUUUACAAACAAAACCAAAUAUAUCUGUUUGUUCUUUGAGCUCAUGUGAUCAUUACUAUGAGCAAAGAAGAAGAAAGGUGACGUUCUUAAGUGGAUUUUUUUUUUCUUAGCAGUCCUCCAAUAAACAUUUGUUUUUAAGUGAAGUGUAUAAAGUUAAAUUGAGGUGAAAUGAGAGUGUCUUCCAAGAACACAGUGGUUUCUCUCUGGAAGGAUGGGGCCGUUUCUUGGCUCCUGCUUUAGUUUGGUGUUUUCGUGAAGGCGAGCUGUAUCUUCGCUGACUCAGGCUUUGGUCCGGUUGGGGGUUGGGUGGGGACGGUGGAGGGGGUGGGGUGUUGACUGGCCAAGAUAAAUGAAAUGAUACAGUAUAAUUUGGCCUUGUGCGAGGCUGUUAAACACCCUCCUCUUGGAAGAUGCUCCGCAGUCUCCUGCCUUGCCUGACGGAGCGCGCUCAGUGGCUCACACGUGUUUUCCAACGCGGCGCGGCGUUAGCGGGGAGCGUAACAGGCCUGAUUAAAUUUUCAGCAGCCGCUCUGACAUUAACUGGGCUGCGGAUGAAUAUUGAUGUUCUGUCCGUGUUGUUUAUGGUUUACACUGUUAGCGUUUAGCCCGAGCUUUCAUCCGAAGCAGCUGAAGAUGAACACGGCACCUGUUCCACCGGUCUGAUCGUGGUGCUGAUGCUGAUGAGGUGAUGGAGGAGCUGCUGACUCCUCAGUAAGAAAACCUCAUGUCAGCGCUGAUGCUCAGUGGGCGGAGCUCCUCAGAAAUGAUGGAUCCACUGAGGAGUGUGGGUCUGUUGUGUUGCUGCACAGCAGAAUCAGACAACAUGGAGCUCUCAACCGUCAGCAGCAUUUGUGCUCAUUGGUUUAAACAUUUUUGGGUUUUACUGAUAGUUAGAAGUUUUUAUAUAUUGGUGAGAUUUUUGGAUUUUGUGCAACAAAAUUUCUUUCAAUCUCCAAGUUUGUGUAGUUGUAGUUAGCUUUAUUUUAUUCUUUUUGUAAGGGAUUUGUGUACAUCAGUUUGAUUGAAAUGUUGUCGGCUCUUAAAUUGAUUUGUCAUUUUAAUGUUUUCGUUCAUUUUUUUUCAUCAGUAGGUUGUAGUGAGUCUGUUUGUUUACUUUGUGAUGACUUGUUUCUUUUCUGAAUGUGAAAGAUUCAUAUUUUUUCCAUCUUUGUGUCCCGCUGAGGUUGUCGUUUGUGUCUCUUCAAGGCGAUUGUGUUUCUGUGUUUGGUUUUUGUCUAUUUAAAGUUGUUUUUGAUGUCUCUGACUUUGUGCUUCUUUUCAAUUUGGUGAUACAUUCCGUUUGUGUUUUUCUAAAACUUUCUUUCCUUAAAGUUGUUUUCAUUUUUGUUUGGAGAUAAUUUCUUACUUUUUUUCCUCUUUUGUUCAGUUCAAAACUUUCUUUUUUACAGCGACAAAUCUUUUUUUUCUUAACUUAACCAAAGUUUUGGGUUUUGUUCUCGUUCUUUGUCUUCACUUCUUCAUGAGCCUCCGAGUGAUGAAAACACUUCAGUUUGUUUAAUUACUGAAACACAAAGAGGCUGUUGAAUUUGUUAAAAUUCAAAAGAUCCUAUUAUCCCGUUUGGCAUUUCUGCAUUAAAACAUUUGGUAAGUUUUUAGGUUAUUUAAGAAACGUUUUUGAUUAAAAGUUUGAAUCUGGCUUUUGUUUUUUUAUUAUUUUUUUAUAUUACUACCUAAAAACAAGCAAUUGACAAAUAUUUUGUGUUUUAAAAAAAAUAGCUGAAAAGGAGUUUAUUUUUCUGAACAAAAACAAGAAUUGAUCAUUUUUGAGAAUGAUUUCUUCACCUCCACAGUUUGACAUAUUUUGCAUUUCUUGAGUUUCCUUCAGAGUCUGACGGUCGAUAACUGAUUUUAUUCUCAAACUGCAGCAUUUGUUGUGUUUGCAUUCCCCGUGCUGUGGAAGGUCAAAGUUCUGAGUCUGAGAUUCAUAUGAACUGAAAUCACAGUCAUCAUUAAAAGUAAAAAGCAAACUAAUUUAAAAGUUUCAUGAAAGUUUAUGCGGCGUUUGCGGCUCAUUAGUUCUGCGUGGACGCUCCCGUGUCGUGUCUCAGUUCCGCUCGGAGCUGGAAGAUGCUUUUCUGUGUUCACGUUUGUUUCCAAACCUCCUUCUGGGUUCUUUGUCAGUCUAAUUUUCAGGGAACACCCUGAAGUACAGUCGCUUUUAUCCGUAUGAGAACCUCUGCUCCCAGAAAAACACCAGGUCCGAGUUUGAGAGACGGGAUGAGUUUCAUCGCCGCUGAUCUCUUCCUCCUGCUGACUUUAGGGCAAACCAAUUAUCUGCGGCGUCCUCGGCCUGACAGAGGCUUUUAAUUGUCUUUCAUGAGGCAAUAAAUGGUGUUUGUCAACUGGCGGGACGCGACUCUAAAUCUGCUCUGGAGUUUAAUUAAGCCCGGAGGAUAAAACGUGCCGUAAAGUCAAGGUGCUCUUCGUCUGAAGACCCGUCUGUCAGAUGCAGAUGUCAAACUGUCUGCUGCAGGUCGUCGUGGAGCCUGAGAUGGACCAGAUUCAUGAAGUCCUUUUUAAUCAGCAGCACGUUUCUCUGGAUUUACCAACUCACUCCCAACUCCUCAGAUAUGGACCUAUGAUUAGGGCACCCCACAUGUUUUGGGUGUCCCCAACUCCUCGUUUUUUGUUGUGCUGUCUGUUCCCGUUACAUCAGGGGUCUCCGACCUCUGGCUCUUGAACCAAUACCAGUCCGAGGGACGCUUCGUACCGGGCCACAGACGGGGAAAAAAUGAAUACACUAAUCUGGGGUCUUCAUCCUUGGGACGGGACCAGUACUGGUACUGGUACCGGUACUCUUACCCUAACCCGGUUUCACAUCCGUUAUCCAAUCUGGUACUGCGUCCUGAGGGUUGAGGAUCUCUGCUUUAAUGGGAACAGGAAGUAUGUCGAUGGGGACACCCGAAACGUCAAAAAGUGACGCACAGGGGGCCCGACCCAAACGUCCAUACAGAGUAUGACAAGUGGUGGGGAAAAAAUUAAUUUUUAGAUGAUCCAUAAAUGAUUCUGAAGCAUUCUAUGAAUUUUAAAUAAUCAAUAAUGGAAACAUUUAUAUGAUUUAAUGUAAAAGUAACGCGUGGAACUAAACGUGAAGGAUUUUCCACGCUGACAUUUUUGAAGAGCAAACAAACAUGGCUGACCUUCCUGAUCUCAUCACCCGACCGGCCCCAACUUCCCUUAAAGUGACGGUUUGGAAACAUUUUGGCUGUCAUAGUGUCGAGGGUCAAUUUGAUAAAAGUUAAACAGUGUAUAAGUUACACCCAAAUGAAAUGUGGAGAGAACACAACAGAUCUGCAAAAUCACGAUUAAAUCACUAUUUAGUUUGAUGUGAGUUAAAGAGUGUUUCAUUAAAGCUGGUUUCUUAUUUAAGGUUGUUCAGGAAAAAUGUAUCAUUUUGAGGCUGUGAAAGAUUUUUGAUUAUUAAACCAAAUGUUUUUCAUGUUAGAAUUUUUAUGUUAUCAAUAAAAGUUAAAGAAGUUUACUGAUCUAUUCUUUACAUAUAAAUGCACUUUGGUGGAGAAAGUAAUUUAUAUUGGUCUAGUGUUUUGUAGUGAAGAGAAACAUCUCUAAAAAAAAAAAAAA